GGCUCAGAUUGAACGCUGGCGGCAGGCCUAACACAUGCAAGUCGAGCGGUCGCACAGAGAGCUUGCUCUCGGGUGACGAGCGGCGGACGGGUGAGUAAUGUCUGGGAAACUGCCUGAUGGAGGGGGAUAACUACUGGAAACGGUAGCUAAUACCGCAUAAUGUCGCAAGACCAAAGUGGGGGACCUUCGGGCCUCAUGCCAUCAGAUGUGCCCAAAAGGGAUUAGCUAGUAGGUGGGGUAACGGCUCACCUAGGCGACGAUCCCUAGCUGGUCUGAGAGGAUGACCAGCCACACUGGAACUGAGACACGGUCCAGACUCCUACGGGAGGCAGCAGUGGGGAAUAUUGCACAUUGGCCGCAAGCCUGAUGCAGCCAUGCCGCGUGUGUGAAGAAGGCCUUCGGGUUGUAAAGCACUUUCAGCGGGGAGGAAGGCGGUAAGGUUAAUAACCUCGUCGAUUGACGUUACCCGCAGAAGAAGCACCGGCUAACUCCGUGCCAGCACGCGCGCGCGGGUAAUACGGAGGGUGCAAGCGUUAAUCGGAAUUACUGGGCGUAAAGCGCACGCAGGCGGUCUGUCAAGUCGGAUGUGAAAUCCCCGGGCUCAACCUGGGCGAAACUGGCAGGCUAGAGUCUUGUAGAGGGGGGUAGAAUUCCAGGUGUAGCGGUGAAAUGCGUAGAGAUCUGGAGGAAUACCGG
rnacentral:rRNA from 1 species